AUAGUCGGCUAGAAGGUUCAUAAUUAGAACCCCAAGCUCCUUCGUUUCUCUGCAAAACCCUUAUCACUCUCCUCAAGGGAUCUGCUUGGUUAACUCCACAUAUUCAUUUUUCAUUCCCACCUUCUUUAAUCAGGAAUAGAAAUGUUUGGCACCACACAGAUAUUGCCCCUUCCGGCGCCCCCAUUGGAUGGGAAUUUGGGACCAACACCUCCAGCUCAAGUGGUGGAGGAACCAAAGGAGGAUAAGAUGGAAGAGGAUGAAGAGGACAACAAUAAAACCGACAAGGUUCCAACAUCUGUUGCAACACAUACGAGAACUAUUGGUAUAAUUUAUCCCCCUCCAGAUAUUAGGAGUAUUGUUGACAAGACCUCACAGUUUGUGGCGAAGAAUGGUCCGGACUUUGAGAAGAGGAUUGUUUUAAAUAACGCUGGCAAUGCAAAAUUUAACUUCCUGAAUGCUUCUGAUCCUUACCACGCCUAUUAUCAGCACCGUUUGGCUGAAGCUCGCGCACAGAAUCAGGCUUCUGGAGAGCAGCCUACUCAGCCAGAAGACAAAGAAGCAGCCCCUGCUCCUCCUACCGCUGAUGGUGCUGAGACAACUGCAAAACCUGAUCCGUCUGCUCAGUUUAGACCUGUCAGAAAGGUUCUUGAGCCACCUGAGGCAGAGCAAUAUACUGUUCGACUCCCUGAAGGGAUCACAGGUGAAGAGCUGGAUAUCAUUAAGCUUACAGCACAAUUUGUGGCCAGAAAUGGAAAGUCUUUCUUAACAGGGUUGACGAGCAGGGAGAUUAAUAAUCCCCAAUUUCAUUUUCUGAAGCCUACUCACAGCAUGUUUAUGUUUUUCACUUCGCUUGCGGAUGCGUAUUCGAAAGUUCUGAUGCCUCCUAAAGGCUUGACGGAUAAGCUGCAGAAGAGUGCUGCUGACAUGACAACAGUCCUAGAGCGAUGUCUGCAUCGGUUGGAGUGGGAAAGGUCACAGGAGCAGGCUAGACAGAAAGCUGAAGAUGAGAUAGAACAGGAGAGGUUGCAGAUGGCUAUGAUUGAUUGGCAUGAUUUUGUUGUUGUUGAGACUAUAGAUUUUGCUGAUGAUGAGGAUCAGGAUUUACCUCCACCUAUGACCCUUGAGGAGGUUAUAAGGAGGAGUAAGAUGCCCACAUUAGAGGAAGAAGAGUAUGUUGAGCCUGGAAAAGAGGUGGAAAUGGAGAUGGAUGAAGAAGAAGCGCAGCUAGUUGAAGAAGGUAUGCGAGCUGCGACUCUUGAAGAGAAUGGUGGUGUCAAGAGUGCUGAAACCAAGGCAAUUCCAGAGGAACAGGACCCACCAAUGCGGAUUGUGAAGAACUGGAAGAGGCCUGAAGAGAGGAUCCCGGCAGAAAGGGACCCGACUAAAUAUGUUGUCUCUCCUAUAACUGGUGAGCUAAUACCUAUUAAUGAGAUGUCUGAACAUAUGAGGAUCUCUCUCAUUGAUCCGAAGUACAAGGAACAGAAGGACAGGAUGUUUGCGAAGAUUAAGGAGACGACUCUUGCGCAGGAUGAUGAGAUUUCUAAGAACAUUGUUGGACUUGCACGAACCCGUCCGGAUAUAUUUGGUACUACGGAAGAAGAAGUUUCAAAUGCAGUCAAGGCUGAGAUUGAGAAAAAGGUAGAAGAGCCGAAGCAGGUCAUAUGGGAUGGUCACACCGGUAGCAUUGGGCGCACUGCAAGCCAGGCAAUGUCUCAGAACAGUGCAGAUGAUCAGAAUGAUGCUGCAAAUGAUGGAAGAAACCUUCCUGGUCCGCAGGCUCCUCCACCUCCAAGACCCGGUCUUCCAUCUGUUAGGCCACUACCUCCACCUCCUGGGCUUGCGCUGAAUAUUCCUAGGCCUCCUAAUACAGUCCAGUAUUCCACUCCCACCAGUGCUGGGGUUGCUGCUCCGCCUCCACCUCGACCUCCUAUGGUUAACAUGAUUCCUCAGGUUCGGCCCCCGCCUCCUCCCAUGCCACAGAUGCCUGGUCAGCAAAAUCUCAUGAAUCGCCCCCCAAUGCCUCCAUCAAUGGCCAUGAAUUCGCAUAGCCUUCCUAUUCCACCACCUCCUGGAUCACAGUUUACACCUUUGGGAGCACCUCGGCCCUUUGUUCCCCACCCGAUGUCCCAGUCUGGAAUGUCUAUGGUCCCGCCUCCUCCUAUGCCCCAAGGAAUGCCGCCACCUCCUCCGCCGGAGGAAGCCCCUCCUCUCCCGGAAGAGCCAGAGCCCAAGAGGCAAAAGCUUGAUGAGUCUGUUCUCAUUCCUGAAGACCAGUUUUUGGCUCAGCACUCGGGACGUGCAACGAUCAAUGUAUCUGUGCCGAAUACCGACGAAGGAAAUCUCAAGGGACAACUUCUGGGAAUCACAGUGCAAUCUCUGUCCGAAACCAUUGCCAGUCUAAAAGAGAAGAUUUCUGGGGAGAUCCAGCUUCCUGCAAACAAACAAAAGCUGAGUGGAAAGGCUGGUUUUCUCAAGGACAACUUGUCUCUUGCAUACUAUAAUGUUGCUUCUGGAGAAACACUCAGUCUCUCUCUGAGAGAACGUGGUGGGAGAAAGAGAUGAAUGGGGAGUUAUUUGGCAUGGCCUUCAAAGAUUUUGGCAUGUUGGCGAUCAUCCAUGAGGACAACAGGAAGUUUACUAGUUCUAUGUCUAUAAGAUGCAAUGAUUGUGGGUUGAAUUUAUGUUACUAAUUUGUGUUUGUCUUAACAUGUGCAGUUGCUCCACCCUAACUAGAGCUCAGUUGUUAUCUUGUUAUAUCUUCUUAGUCCAAAGCCCAUUCUGGGAUUGGAACUUUUCUGAUGUCUUCUUGGCAAACAUUUCUGAUAAUAUUAGCGGCUUUCCUUUGCCAUUAAUAUCUCAAAUUCUUUUGUGGACUUUAGGACCUUAGAAGAUGUGCUUGUCGUGGUGGGAGACGCUUGUCCCAAGCACACCUGCCUCUUUUGUGCUUUACCCCUCUUAGAGGCUAUGAUGUAUGCUGUUUUUGUCGGUUGUGUUGUAAGUUCCUGCCUCGAUAGCAAAAGCAGUUUGCCCUGGCUUUCGGAGGAGGUUGCAGAUUGAUGAUUGAAACAUGCUUCAUAUGUAAUCUUUGGGAAUUCCUUAUUUUUCUGGCAGAUAGUGUGUCAUUAGUAUUCAUUUGUUAUUAUUCUUAAGGAAAUUGAUUCAGUAGCUUUUAUAUGUGUGUGCUGUUUGUAGCUUGCACUACCCCAUUUUUAUGGGGAUAGAUCUUAACUUCACUUCCAACUGAUGAUAUUAGUACUAGUGAGAUUUCAAAGCUAGGAAUAUGAUGGACGUACUUUAAGAAGUUGCUUUCUAUGAAAUCAUGCUCUGGAGCCAUGUG